GAAGAGGGGAGAUGGGGUAAUGGGGGCAGUGCGAGCGAGAGACGGUAAAUCUGACACAUGCUAAUGGAUAGUGCCAAUUUAAGGAUUUCCAGGGGAAGAGAAGGAGCAAUCUACCCCUCUGUCACCACCAGACCAUGUGGAAUGGGAUGCGAUUGCAAUUUGCAACAGUGGAGAGACCUCUGAAAGCUGAGAGGCAGGAAGACAGAUGAGGAGGUUGCUGUGUUUCUGCAAGACAGGGCGAUCAUCUCUGUGUCCUUGACGACCAUCUCACUGGACACAUCACUCAUGUACUGGUUCCAGCAAGUCCGGGUUGUUUCUACCUCUGUGCAAAGCCUUUGAAAAAACACACACACAUAAACACAGCCUCCUGCUGGUCGUCCUGUAUGCGGCGUAUCUGUGCAGUCAGAGCUUCCACGUUCUCCUGCAGUUCGACAAUGUGUUUCUCAGCCUUCUGCAGCUGCUCUGUGUGGGCCUGACGCUGAGCCUCCCGGUGUGUGUCACACUCCUUCAGAGCCUGGACGGCAUUCUUGUAUCUUGACAAAAGUCAGUAAUACAGUUAGAUAUUAAGAGACAUUUAGAUAUCCUGCAGUUUUAUGCACAGUUCAUUCGGCUUUUAUGCAGAAAAAAUGCAGAUUAUCCAGCAGAAGGCAGCAGGUGACCACAAAUUAAAUGAAGGCUUUAUCUAUUUCUAAUUUUUAAUGAAUUGUAAUAACUGAAAACAAAUUAUAAAUUGAUACAUCCUGCAAUAAUUUUGGUGUCAUUUGAAGCACAUAUUUGUAACCUAGGAGGAAUUCCUUAUAGAUAGAUUUUGGGAAAACUGUCAGAGCUCCACCUCUGCUACCAUAUUUGACAUGCUGAGUCUGUAACAUACGCUGGAUGUGUAUAGCAAAUAUGGUCUAUUUUGAAAGCUGUUUUAAUGAUUUAUUAAAAAAAAAAAAAAACAUGCUGUUGCACCCCUUAGUGGUGGCCCGACAAAAACAUGAAACCAAUUUUUUGAUUUAACGAUUUCAUUUCUGCAUAUUUUCCACCAUAAAUAUCAUAAGAGAAGGAUUCAAUAAAAUACACGGGAUGGGAAAAAGUGAAAUCCUCUUCCCUCAAGCAAAAAAAAAUACAGAUACAAAACCCGCCCCCUUUAUGAUUUAUCGAAUUAUACUGCUGUCACAGAGAUAUUUUCCCUUUCUGAAGUGCACACAUGUAUACAUGUGUGUACGUGAAAAGGUUACAUGUGUUAAUAACCAGGAAUGCUGCUACUUUAGUGCAUGUAGUGAGACGUAGAACAGAGUAAUGAUAAACUUGUUUUGUAGAGACUGUUACACACUCUUUGUUUGAACCGUAUGAACCCUUUAAACGGAAACACCAUGAAACACUGCACAGCUGGUGACGUGCCAGAAGACACCAGGCCAUUUUGACAAAUGUGGCAUCACUGAAGAAGAAACAAAGUGACCAGGUUUUUGAAGUUACCAACAAAAUGCACUGGUUCCAUGCUGUCAUGAGGCGGCAGCUGGAGCAAGCACAUGUGGAAGUAAUGUUUAGUGUAUUUAUUACAAUACGUCUUAUUCCUCAGAUGUAAAAAGUGACAAAAAAUGACACUCAACCAACCAAUUACCAAACUGUCUGACAGUUUCACCCUGUCUUUGUGUGAUUGUAAGCCUCGUUCUGAUGAGUUUCACCUGCGUCUCACCCCUUACACCCUUUGGUCUCUGUGUUCCCCUCACCCUUGGUCAAUUGCUCUGUUUUUUUUCCUCUAUGUGCCUGGAAGUAUCCUGUUUAUGUUCCUUCUUGGUUCCUCUCCAUGUUUCCUGAGGUUUUUGCCAGUGCUUCUCCCUGUCGUUAAGUUUUGGACAUUCUUUGUGGUUAUUAUAAUAAUACCUGCACUGCACACACAC